rnacentral:rRNA from 1 species
GGGGAAUAUUGCACAAUGGGCGAAAGCCUGAUGCAGCGACGCCGCGUGCGGGAUGAAGGCCUUCGGGUUGUAAACCGCUUUUAAUUGGGAGCAAGCGAGAGUGAGUGUACCUUUUGAAUAAGCACCGGCUAACUACGUGCCAGCAGCCGCGGUAAUACGUAGGGUGCAAGCGUUAUCCGGAAUUAUUGGGCGUAAAGAGCUCGUAGGCGGUUUGUCACGCCUGGUGUGAAAGUCCAUCGCUUAACGGUGGAUCUGCGCCGGGUACGGGCAGGCUAGAGUGCAGUAGGGGAGAUUGGAAUUCCCGGUGUAACGGUGGAAUGUGUAGAUAUCGGGAAGAACACCAAUGGCGAAGGCAGAUCUCUGGGCUGUUACUGACGCUGAGGAGCGAAAGCAUGGGGAGCGAACAGGAUUAGAUACCCUGGUAGUCCAUGCCGUAAACGGUGGAUGCUGGAUGUGGGACCCUUCCACGGGUUCCGUGUCGGAGCUAACGCGUUAAGCAUCCCGCCUGGGGAG